rnacentral:rRNA from 1 species
GACGAACGCUGGCGGCGUGCUUAACACAUGCAAGUCGAACGGAAAGGCCCCUUGUGGGGUACUCGAGUGGCGAACGGGUGAGUAACACGUGAGUAACCUACCCUUGACUUUGGGAUAACCCCAGGAAACUGGGGCUAAUACCGGAUAGGAGCUCCUGCUGCAUGGUGGGGUUGGAAAGUUUCGGCGGUUGGGGAUGGACUCGCGGCUUAUCAGCUUGUUGGUGGGGUAGUGGCUCACCAAGGCUUUGACGGGUAGCCGGCCUGAGAGGGUGACCGGCCACAUUGGGACUGAGAUACGGCCCAGACCCCUACGGGAGGCAGCAGUGGGGAAUAUUGCACAAUGGGCGGAAGCCUGAUGCAGCAACGCCGCGUGCGGGAUGACGGCCUCGGGUUGUAACGACUUCGCCUCGUGCGAAGACGUGAGUGACGGUAAUGGG